AGUGGAUUACAGUGACACCUUCAGUCUGAAUUGUUGGUGUUUUUCAGGGACACAGACUCCAUUUCCCAUGAGCACUAGCUCCUACUGUCAUAAGGGCAUAACUCUGUAAAGGUGUGGGUUAGUUUU